GAGCGGAUUCAAACUGGCCAAAGUGAUAUUCCGUACCAUGUAGCGUCGUGCCCAGUAUGUUACCUGGGAGGAGCUGGCUGGGGGAGGGAGGCAGCAAUCGCGGCUCGGGGACCAGCAGGGUCGGUUGGCGGCUGGAGAUGAUAGUUCACACAACUUCAGAAGCUCCGGGUGCUCUUCUAGUCUCAUUUCAGAGAUAAUUUUCAUGAAAGCCCGUCCUGAGACCCAUACAUAUCUGGAGCCAUAUUCCACGUCCGUAUGGUGCCAGGAAGAAACUGCAGACAUCUUUCUGACAGUCCUCUUGAGAAGAUUCAGAGAAAGCAACUCUUCUUCAUGAUAAAUGGAAAUCUUGGAAAUCUUAUCCUUGGUGGCUAAUCAAGGCUGCUAAUGAAAUCAGCAGAACUUUCAGAUUGCUGUCUGGCCAAUGGAUGCUAGGGGAAGGCUCCCAAUAACUAUGGGUGUAGAAACAUGGAGGCAAAUUGCAUCCAACAUGUAUGCAUUCUCCAUCAACUCUGGUGUGAUUCAGGACAGGGUGGAAUUAUGUUACAAAUAGAAGAAAUAACACAUUGGAAAAGCACCAUUCUGCAGUCUCCAGAAAGAAUAAUGUCUGUCUUCAAACUAGCUUUGCAGAAAGUAGAUCCACAGCUUUGCUUUCUUUCCAACCAUUUGUGGCUUGAGAUCUAAUGAUCCUAAUCUACAGCUUUAUUUCCAUUCCCAGUGGAGGCUGAGGCUGGCAGAAUGGACAGGCUCUGUAUGCUCACUGGCCAUAAACUAAUCUCUAGACAAUAUUUUCUGUGUUGAGAAUUAUUUUCAAAUGGAUUAAGUCACUCUGUGUGCCAAGGCCUUAUUUCGUGAGAUUGUUAUUUCAGUGUAACUAACAGACACAGCUACUCUCAGCUUUAUUUUGACAGUUAAAAUAGCCAAAUUAAAAGCAAUAGAUGUCUUAGAAAACUGCUUAACAUCUGUUUGUUUGAGUUUGAUUCAUUAAUACUUUUGGAACUCAUAAUCUCGUUUACUUUCCCUGGUAUCCCCAGAGCAGCCCACAGCUUGACUAC